GUUGUAUGGUAAGUGACUAAGCGUACACGGUGGAUGCCUUGGCAGUCAGAGGCGAUGAAGGACGUAUUAACUUGCGAAAGCCCAGAUUAGGUAGUAAAAACCUUUUGAGUCUGGGAUUUCCGAAUGGGAAACCCACUUACAUAAGUAAGUAUCUUGUUGUGAAUACAUAGCAACAAGAGGCAAACCGGGGGAACUGAAACAUCUAAGUACCCCGAGGAAGAGAAAUCAACCGAGAUUCCGAAAGUAGCGGCGAGCGAAAUUGGAUUAGCCCUUAAGCUUUUAAUGAUGCAGGUGAAGAGUCUGGAAGUCUCGCAAUAAAGGGUGAUAGCCCCGUAACCGACACAUCAUAAUCAGUGAAAUCGAGUAGGGCGGGACACGUGAUAUCCUGUCUGAAUAUGGGGGGACCAUCCUCCAAGGCUAAAUACUACUGACUGACCGAUAGUGAACCAGUACCGUGAGGGAAAGGCGAAAAGAACCCCUGUGAGGGAGUGAAAUAGAACCUGAAACCGUGUACGUACAAGCAGUAGGAGCCCUUCGAGGGUGACUGCGUACCUUUUGUAUAAUGGGUCAGCGACUUAUAUUCAGUGGCAAGGUUAACCGUUUAGGGGAGCCGUAGGGAAACCGAGUCUUAACUGGGCGUUCAGUCUCUGGAUAUAGACCCGAAACCAGGUGAUCUAGCCAUGGGCAGGUUGAAGGUUGAGUAACAUCAACUGGAGGACCGAACCGACUAAUGUGAAAAAUUAGCGGAUGAUGUGGCUAGGGGUGAAAGGCCAAUCAAACCUGGAGAUAGCUGGUUCUCCCGAAAGCUAUUUAGGUAGCGCCUCGGACGAAUACUACUGGGGGUAGAGCACUGUUAAGGCUAGGGGGUCAUCCCGACUUACCAACCCUUUGCAAACUCCGAAUACCAGUAAGUACUAUCCGGGACACACGGCGGUGCUAACGUCCGUCGUGGAGAGGGAAACAACCAGACCGCCAGCUAAGGUCCCAAAGUAGCUAAGUGGGAAACGAUGUGGGAAGGCUCAGACAGCCAGGAUGUUGGCUUAGAAGCAGCCAUCAUUUAAAGAAAGCGUAAUAGCUCACUGGUCGAGUCGGCCUGCGCGGAAGAUGUAACGGGCUAAGCUAUACACCGAAGCUGCGGCUGCACACUUUAGUGUGCGGGGUAGGGAGCGUUCUGUAAGCCGUUGAAGGUGGUCUGUAAGGGUGCUGGAGGUAUCAGAAGUGCGAAUGCUGACAUGAGAACGAUAAAGGGAGUGAAAAACUCCCUCGCCGGAAGACCAAGGGUUCCUGUCCAACGUUAAUCGGGGCAGGGUAAGUCGACCCCUAAGGCGAGGCCGAAAGGGCGUAUGCGAGGGGAAACGGGUUAAUAUUCCCGUACUUCUUACAAUUGCGAUGGGGGGACGGAGAAGGCUAGGUGGGCUGGCGACGGUUGUCCAGUUCAAGUACGUAGCGGAAGAGUUAGGUAAAUCCGGUUCUUCUUAACGCUGAGAUACGAUGUCGAGCCACUACGGUGGUGAAGUCAUUGAUGCCAUGCUUCCAGGAAAAGCCUCUAAGCUUCAGAUUGUAAGGAAUCGUACCCCAAACCGCACAGGUGGUCGGGUAGAGAAUACCAAGGCGCUUGAGAGAACUCGGGUGAAGGAACUAGGCAAAAUGGUACCGUAACUUCGGGAGAAGGUACGCUCUUAUCG
rnacentral:rRNA from 1 species